UGCAUAGGAAUUUGCCUCAAAGUGGGGGAUAGCCCGGAGAAAUCCGGAUUAAUACCGCAUGUGCUCUACGGAGGAAAGCGGGCCUCUAUUUAUAAGCUCGCGCUUUGAGAUAAGCCCUAUGUCGGAUUAGCUUGUUGGUAGGGUAAAGCCUACCAAGCCGACGAUCCCUAGCUGGUCUGAGAGGAUGAUCAGCCACACUGGAACUGAGACACGGUCCAGACUCCUACGGGAGGCAGCAGUGGGGAAUAUUGCACAAUGGGGGAAACCCUGAUGCAGCCAUGCCGCGUGUGUGAAGAAGGC
rnacentral:rRNA from 1 species